GGCUCCGUGGCUUAAUGGUUACGGCUUCUGCCUCACAAGCAGAAGGUUCAGGGAUCAAAUCCCGGUCGAUACCU
rnacentral:tRNA from 1 species